rnacentral:tRNA from 1 species
GUCUCUGAAGCACAAAGGAUGUGCAGGACGCUACGAACGUCCAGGCUGCUGGUUCGACUCCAGUCAGGGACUC